rnacentral:rRNA from 1 species
UAACCCGCACCACUUAUCGUGGUGGGAGACAGUGUCAGGCGGGCAGUUUGACUGGGGCGGUCGCCUCCUAAAAGGUAACGGAGGCGCCCAAAGGUUCCCUCAGAAUGGUUGGAAAUCAUUCAUAGAGUGUAAAGGCAUAAGGGAGCUUGACUGCGAGACCUACAAGUCGAGCAGGGUCGAAAGACGGACUUAGUGAUCCGGUGGUUCCGCAUGGA